rnacentral:tRNA from 1 species
AGGGGCAUGGUGUAAUGGUAACACAACGCUCUCCAAAAGCGUCAUUCAGGGUUCGAGUCCUUGUGCCCCUG